rnacentral:rRNA from 1 species
AGAGUUUGAUCCUGGCUCAGAGUGAACGCUGGCGGCAGGCCUAACACAUGCAAGUCGAACGGCAGCACAGGAGAGCUUGCUCUCUGGGUGGCGAGUGGCGGACGGGUGAGGAAUACAUCGGAAUCUACCUUGUCGUGGGGGAUAACGUAGGGAAACUUACGCUAAUACCGCAUACGACCUACGGGUGAAAGCAGGGGACCUUCGGGCCUUGCGCGAUUGGAUGAGCCGAUGUCGGAUUAGCUAGUUGGCGGGGUAAAGGCCCACCAAGGCGACGAUCCGUAGCUGGUCUGAGAGGAUGAUCAGCCACACUGGAACUGAGACACGGUCCAGACUCCUACGGGAGGCAGCAGUGGGGAAUAUUGGACAAUGGGCGCAAGCCUGAUCCAGCCAUGCCGCGUGGGUGAAGAAGGCCUUCGGGUUGUAAAGCCCUUUUGUUGGGAAAGAAAAGCAGCCGGCCAAUACCCGGUUGUUCUGACGGUACCCAAAGAAUAAGCACCGGCUAACUUCGUGCCAGCAGCCGCGGUAAUACGAAGGGUGCAAGCGUUACUCGGAAUUACUGGGCGUAAAGCGUGCGUAGGUGGUGGUUUAAGUCCGUUGUGAAAGCCCUGGGCUCAACCUGGGAACUGCAGUGGAUACUGGAUCACUAGAGUGUGGCAGAGGGUAGUGGAAUUCCCGGUGUAGCAGUGAAAUGCGUAGAGAUCGGGAGGAACAUCAGUGGCGAAGGCGACUGCCUGGGCCAACAC